CCUACGGGAGGCAGCAGUGGGGAAUAUUGCACAAUGGGGGAAACCCUGAUGCAGCGACGCCGCGUGAGUGAAGAAGUAUCUCGGUACGUAAAGCUCUAUCAGCAGGGAAGAAAAUGACGGUACCUGACCCAGAAGCCCCGGCUAACUACGUGACAGAAGCCGCGGUAAUACGUAGGGGGCAAGCGUUAUCCGGAUUUACUGGGUGUAAAGGGAGCGUAGACGGCGGCACAUGUCUGGAGUGAAAUGCCGGGGCUGAACCCCGGAACGGCAUUGGAAACUGUGCGACUGGAGUGCAGGAGGGGUAAGCGGAAUUCCUGGUGUAGCAGUGAAAUGCGUAGAUAUCAGGAGGAACACCCGUGGCGAAGGCGGCUUCCUGGACUGUAACUGACGUUGAGGCUCGAAGGCGUGGGGAGCAAACGGGAUUAGAUACCCUUGUAGUC
rnacentral:rRNA from 1 species